CACCCUGCUACAUACAGCUGUGGCAAUUCUGAAGUGCUUUACCAGAAGGUGUGGUAAGGGGCCACAAAUCUACCUGCAGGUGGAACACUCUGGGGUUUUUAAGUGUCUCACAGCACAGCUGCAUUGUAAAGGGUUUCAAACGUCCCAUCUGUCUCUACCCUUUGGAGGGCACUGUCCUGUAAAAAAGCUUAACUGGGAGCUAUUACAUGUUAAACUACAGGUGGUACCAUCAGACCCCAGGAUCCCCUAAAUAUUAACUUGCACUAACAAUGAGCCAACUUGUUACAAACUAAAACAAGUAACAACGACGGAGAACAACUAGGGCUUUUUUGUUUGUUUAAAAAAAAUAAUCAUAUUUUCCAGUUUAUGUCCAUGAUCUUGCUCUAUUUCAGUUUACAUUUUGGUGCCUACCUCCAGUUAAUGUUACUGGCUGGUCUCUUACCAUUUUAUAUUAGACAGACUUCAAAAAAGAAAAAUAGCUGCUGGGUGUAAUUUUGCACCAUUGUGGCAUUAAAUGUGUAUACCUGACCGAUCAGAACAGGCUCUCAGAAAAAAAUAUUUAAAUUAGGAUCCUAGUAACAUUUCCUAUGUUUGAAUAUUCCUUGCUUGUUAAGGCCUUAAGACAUUACCAGAGCAUUAGUUCAGAUUAGGAUAUUAAGGUACUAGACAUUACUUUAAAAAAUAAAAUCAAGAAAUGACCCUUGUGUUAAGAGUUUAAGAACAAAAUAUAAUAAAAAGGUGAACUGAGAUGUAAGAUAGGGGAGGGGCACACACUUCAACUGCAGUCUUACAACUAAAAGCGUAAGCAGUGCUGAAUAUUCAAACUAGACUAAAAUGUUUCUGCACCUGUACCUAUAUUUUCCCUUUGAGAUCAUAAUUGACAAGUUUUUUAAAUAUUGUUUGUAUCAGAAUACAUAGUGCAGCUUCACAGCUGGAGGUCCUCAGCAUUAUGUACUGCACAAAGGGAAUCUCAGUGUCAGAGAGCUUAUAAACAAUAUCUUCCUUUAUCGCUGUUUAGUGUUUAUACAGAUUUGAUCAUUUACCUGUUUUUAUCUUCUGCUGUAGUAGAAACAAUGGAAUGAAGAGGAGACACUAAUGGCUUGGAAAGAAGAGGUGCAAGAGCAUGGGAUGGGGAACAGAAGGGAGCUAAGGAAGAAUAGACAGCCGAGUCCAGGAGGCAUGAUGAACUACAGAACUAGGACCAAAAAAGUUAAAAUCAGCACCGUCAAUCUAAAA